GCAAGUCGAACGAGAAAGCCCUUCGGGGUAAGUAGAGUGGCAAACGGGUGAGUAACACGUAAGAAUCUACCUUUUGGUGGGGGAUACCUUCGAGAAAUUGGGGUUAAUACCAUAUAAGUCCCUGAGGGGAGAAAGGCCGCGUAAUGCGGUCGCCGAAAGAUGAGCUUGCGGCCUAUUAGCUAGUUGGUGUGGUAAGAGCGCACCAAGGCGAUGAUGGGUAACCGGCCUGAGAGGGUGAUC
rnacentral:rRNA from 1 species